AACAAAGAAAUUAAGAUAAAUUUAGAAUUUAUAUAGUACAAACAUAUUUGUACUUUGUUA
rnacentral:tRNA from 1 species